GCCGGGGUGGCCGAGCGGACUAAGGCGCAGGCCUUGAGACCCUCAGAACAAGCAAGCCUGUGGCUCCUCGGGAGCCUCAUGGGUUCGAAUCCCAUCCCCGGCG
rfam:Candidatus Bathyarchaeota archaeon B26-1 scaffold2040, whole genome shotgun sequence.